rfam:Myotis davidii contig189446, whole genome shotgun sequence.
GGCAGUUCUUGGAUGACAUACCCCAGAAUAGGACUCCCUCCUCUCUGGUUCCGGGUGUGUCACCUGAGAACCACA